UAUUGGGCGUAAAGAGCUCGUAGGGCGGUCUGUCGCGUCUGCUUGUGAAAUUCCCGAGGCUCAACCUCGGGCUUGCAGUGGGUACGGGCAGACUAGAGUGCGGUAGGGGAGAUUGGAAUUUCCUGGUGUAGCGGUGGAAUGCGCAGAUAUCAGGAGGAACACCGAUGGCGAAGGCAGAUCUCUGGGCCGUUACUGACGCUGAGGAGCGAAAGGGUGGGGAGCAAACAGGCUUAGAUACCCUGGUAGUCCACCCCGUAAACGUUGGGAACUAGUUGUGGGGUCCUUUCCACGGAUUCCGUGACGUAGCUAACGCAUUAAGUUCCCCGCCUGGGGAGUACGGCCGCAAGGCUAAAACUCAAAGGAAUUGACGGGGACCCGCACAAGCGGCGGAGCAUGCGGAUUAAUUCGAUGCAACGCGAAGAACCUUACCAAGGCUUGACAUACACCAGAACGGGCCAGAAAUGGUCAACUCUUUGGACACUGGUGAACAGGUGGUGCAUGGUUGUCGUCAGCUCGUGUCGUGAGAUGUUGGGUUAAGUCCCGCAACGAGCGCAACCCUCGUUCUAUGUUGCCAGCACGUUAUGGUGGGAACUCAUGGGAUACUGCCGGGGUCAACUCGGAGGAAGGUGGGGAUGACGUCAAAUCAUCAUGCCCCUUAUGUCUUGGGCUUCACGCAUGCUACAAUGGCCGGUACAAUGGGCUGCGAUACCGCGAGGUGGAGCGAAUCCCAAAAAGCCGGUCCCAGUUCGGAUUGAGGUCUGCAACUCGACCUCAUGAAGUCGGAGUCGCUAGUAAUCGCAGAUCAGCAACGCUGCGGUGAAUACGUUCCCGGGUCUUGUACACACCGCCC
rnacentral:rRNA from 1 species